GGGGCCGUAGCUCAGCCUGGAUAGAGCGGUGGCCUUCUAAGCCACAGGUCCCGGGUUCAAAUCCCGGCGGCCCCGCCA
rnacentral:tRNA from 1 species